rnacentral:ncRNA from 1 species
AUAAAGUUUAAAUUUAGCUUAAAAGUUUAUUUAAUUUUUUAUUUACAUGUAAAUUUUAGUGUGUGUUUAAUAAUAGUUUAAAUAAUUAUUUUAAGUAAUUUAUUCGCAGUAUGGGGGUUUAUUAAUUUAUGAGAUUAAGAAUUAUAGAUAAAUUUUAAUAUUGACAAAAUUUGUGCCAGCAGUUGCGGUUAUACAAAAAAUAUGAAUAAAUUUUAUUGGUAGAUAAUAAAGUUUUUUUAUUUUAAUAAAAGUAAAAUUUAUAAGGUGAAAUUUAAAAUUUUUAUAAGUUAUUUAUUAAUAGAUUGAAAUUAUGAAAUUUAUUUAAUAAACUAGGAUUAGAUACCCUAUUAUUAUAAAUGUAAAUUUUUACUAAAGUAGUAUUAGUUAUGAUCUUGAAAUUUAAAAAUUUUGGCGGUAUUUUAGUCUUUUCAGAGGAACCUGUUCUGUAAUUGAUAGUCCACGAUGAACUAUACUUUAUUUAUUAGUUUAUAUAUCGUCGUUUUUAAAUAUUUUAUAAGAAUAAUAAUGUUUAAGUUGUUAAUUGAGAGAAUAAAUCAGAUCAAGGUGUAGCUUAUAAUAAAGAAGAAAUGGGUUACAAUAAAUUUAUUUUUAUGAAUUUAUGUAUUAAAAUGUAUAAUGAAGGUGGAUUUGAUAGUAAUAAGUUUUAUAAAAAAUUUAUGAUUAUGGCUCUAAAAUGUGUACAUAUUGCCCGUCGCUCUUGUUAUAAAAUAAGAUAAGUCGUAACAAAGUAGGUGUACUGGAAAGUGUGUCUAGAAAGA